rnacentral:rRNA from 1 species
CCUACGGGGGGCAGCAGUGGGGAAUAUUGCACAAUGGGCGCAAGCCUGAUGCAGCCAUGCCGCGUGUGUGAAGAAGGCCUUCGGGUUGUAAAGCACUUUCAGCGGGGAGGAAGGCGGUGAGGUUAAUAACCUCAUCGAUUGACGUUACCCGCAGAAGAAGUACCGGCUAACUCCGUGCCAGCAGCCGCGGUAAUACGGAGGGUGCAAGCGUUAAUCGGAAUUACUGGGCGUAAAGCGCACGCAGGCGGUCUGUCAAGUCGGAUGUGAAAUCCCCGGGCUCAACCUGGGAACUGCAUUCGAAACUGGCAGGCUAGAGUCUUGUAGAGGGGGGUAGAAUUCCAGGUGUAGCGGUGAAAUGCGUAGAGAUCUGGAGGAAUACCGGUGGCGAAGGCGGCCCCCUGGACAAAGACUGACGCUCAGGUGCGAAAGCGUGGGGAGCAAACAGGAUUAGAUACCCUAGUAGUC